rnacentral:rRNA from 1 species
CCCUUAGAUGUUCUGGGCUGCACGCGCGCUACACUGACGAAGUCAGCGAGCAUGUCCUACGCCGACAGGUGCGGGGAAUCUUGCCAAACUUCGUCGUGAUGGGGAUUGAUUAUUGAAAUUCUUGAUCAUCAACGAGGAAUUCCUAGUAAGCGCAAGUCAGCAGCUUGCGUUGAUUACGUCCCUGCCCUUUGUACACACCGCCCGUCGCUACUACCGAUUGAAUGGUUUAGUGAGAUCUUCGGAUUGGCGCCACUGCGGCUCAGCAAUGGGCUCGGUGGAUGCCGAAAAGUUGAUCAAACUUGAUCAUUUAGAGGAAGUAAAAGUCGUAACA